rnacentral:rRNA from 1 species
CUUGGUGAAAAUAGAGUCGUGGAACCACCUGAAUCCAUCUCGAACUCAGAAGUGAAACGCGAUAUCGCCGAUGGUAGUGUGGGGUUGCCCCAUGUGAGAGUAGGUCAUCACCAAGA